rnacentral:rRNA from 1 species
UAAUACAUGCAAGUCGAGCGAAGUUUUUCUGGUGCUUGCACUAGAAAAACUUAGCGGCGAACGGGUGAGUAACACGUAAAGAACCUGCCUCAUAGACUGGGACAACUAUUGGAAACGAUAGCUAAUACUGGAUAACAGCAUUAACUGCAUGGUUGAUGUUUGAAAGUUGGUUAUGCUAACACUAUGAGAUGGCUUUGCGGUGCAUUAGCUAGUUGGUGGGGUAAAGGCCCACCAAGGCGACGAUGCAUAGCCGACCUGAGAGGGUGAUCGGCCACACUGGGACUGAGACACGGCCCAGACUCCUACGGGAGGCAGCAGUAGGGAAUCUUCCGCAAUGGGCGAAAGCCUGACGGAGCAACGCCGCGUGAGUGAAGAAGGAUUUCGGUUCGUAAAGCUCUGUUGUUAGGGAAGAAUGGAUAUGUAGUAACUAUU